rnacentral:lncRNA from 1 species
UUGUGUUUUGAGAGAAAGAGAGAGAGAGAGAGAGAACAUGAGGUGGGGGGUGGGGGGUCAGGGAGAGAGCAGGGGAGAGAAUCCCCAGCAGGCUCCAUGCUGUCAGUGCAGAGCCAGAUCAAGGGUUUGAACUCACAAUCACAAAUUGUGAGAUCAUGACGUGAGUCAAAAUCAAGAGUCAGACACUGAACCAACUGAGCCACCCAGGUGGCCCUGGGGGCACCUAUUGCAGGAAGCAUGUGCCACAUUGCUUAUUAUCUACUGAGGCCACGGGAAGAAAGACUGAGGUAAAGGGACUCAAGGACAUGCCAGGAAAGAAAGACCAGAAACUUCCAAGAAUUGGAACAGAAAGGAGAAUAAAGUACCAGGAGAAAAGGAACUAAGAAGCAGAAACAAACAGAUAUGAAGACAAUAUACCAACAGCCUACCUCACCUUCAUACCACACAAAACCAGAACAUGCCCAACCUUCUCAGUAUCAGUCUUUAAAACAGGGAGCACUGAAGCAGAGAAAAGGGAGAGAAGUUUCCACAAGCCAGCUAUGCUCUACUGCUCACUGCAUUUGACAUGCUUCAUGAUGAGUGAGGGAUACAGCAUGAAGGUAUAGAAAGAGGAUUUUUGAAGAUUUCUUUAAUAGAGUGAUGCUAUGAAACCUUAUCCUUCCUGACUGGCAAGAUUCAUCUUCACACAAAAGAGAAGUUUCUUAAAGAGAUCACUUGAAGAGCUCAAUAAAAUACAAUGAGAUUUAGAGGACA